GGRACGAUAACGGCGUCGAGCGGCGGACGGGUGAGUAAUGCCUAGGAAAUUGCCUUGAUGUGGGGGAUAACCAUUGGAAACGAUGGCUAAUACCGCAURAUGCCUACGGGCCAAAGAGGGGGACCUUCGGGCCUCUCGCGUCAAGAUAUGCCUAGGUGGGAUUAGCUAGUUGGUGAGGUAAUGGCUCACCAAGGCGACGAUCCCUAGCUGGUCUGAGAGGAUGAUCAGCCACACUGGAACUGAGACACGGUCCAGACUCCUACGGGAGGCAGCAGUGGGGAAUAUUGCACAAUGGGCGCAAGCCUGAUGCAGCCAUGCCGCGUGUAUGAAGAAGGCCUUCGGGUUGUAAAGUACUUUCAGCAGUGAGGAAGGGGGUGUCGUUAAUAGCGGCAUYUCUUGACGUUAGCUGCAGAAGAAGCACCGGCUAACUCCGUGCCAGCAGCCGCGGUAAUACGGAGGGUGCGAGCGUUAAUCGGAAUUACUGGGCGUAAAGCGCAUGCAGGUGGUUUGUUAAGUCAGAUGUGAAAGCCCGGGGCUCAACCUCGGAACUGCAUUUGAAACUGGCAAACUAGAGUACUGUAGAGGGGGGUAGAAUUUCAGGUGUAGCGGUGAAAUGCGUAGAGAUCUGAAGGAAUACC
rnacentral:rRNA from 1 species